ensembl:snRNA U6 U6 spliceosomal RNA
UCGCUUUGGCAGCACAUGUACUAACAUUGAACAACGCAGAGAUUAGCAUGGCUCCUGCGCAAGGAUGAUACACUGCACUCCCAAAGCUACUGUACCAUUUU